CACACGACCGUACCGCAAACCGACACUGGUGCGCGAGAUGAGUAUUCUAAGGCGCUUGAGAGAACUCAGGAGAAGGAACUCGGCAAAUUGACACCGUAACUUCGGAAGAAGGUGUGCCUUUAGUAGGUGAACCAUUUACUUGGGGAGCCCAAUGAGGUUGCAAAAAAUCGGUGGCUGCGACUGUUUAUUAAAAACACAGCACUCUGCAAACACGAAAGUGGACGUAUAGGGUGUGACGCCUGCCCGGUGCUGGAAGAUUAAAUGAUGGGGUGCAAGCUCUUGAUUGAAGUCCCGGUAAACGGCGGCCGUAACAAUAACGGUCCUAAGGUAGCGAAAUUCCUUGUCGGGUAAGUUCCGACCUGCACGAAUAGCGUAACUAUGGCCACACUGUCUCCUCCUGAGACUCAGCGAAGUUGAAAUGUUUGUGAUGAUGCAAUCUCCCCGCGGAAAGACGGAAAGACCCCAUGAACCUUUACUGUAGCUUUGUAUUGGACUUUGAACAGAUCUGUGUAGGAUAGGUGGGAGGCUUUGAAGUAGGGUCGCUAGAUCUUAUGGAGCCAACGUUGAAAUACCACCCUGGUGUGUUUGAGGUUCUAACCUAGGUCCAUUAUCUGGAUCGGGGACAGUGCAUGGUAGGCAGUUUGACUGGGGCGGUCUCCUCCCAAAGCGUAACGGAGGAGUUCGAAGGUACGCUAGUUACGGUCGGACAUCGUGACGAUAGUGCAAUGGCAUAAGCGUGCUUAACUGCGAGACUGACAAGUCGAGCAGAUGCGAAAGCAGGACAUAGUGAUCCGGUGGUUCUGUAUGGAAGGGCCAUCGCUCAACGGAUAAAAGGUACUCUGGGGAUAACAGGCUGAUACCGCCCAAGAGUUCAUAUCGACGGCGGUGUUUGGCACCUCGAUGUCGGCUCAUCUCAUCCUGGGGCUGUAGCCGGUCCAAGGGUAUGGCUGUUCGCCAUUUAAAGAGGUACGUGAGCUGGGUUUAAAACGUCGUGAGACAGUUUGGUCCCUAUCUUCCGUGGGCGCUGCAGAUUUGAGGAAGCCUGCUCCUAGUACGAGAGGACCGGAGUGGACACACCUCUGGUGUAUCGGUUGUCACGCCAGUGGCAUUGCCGAGUAGCUAAGUGUGGAAGAGAUAACCGCUGAAAGCAUCUAAGCGGGAAACUCGUUUCAAGAUGAGAUCUGCCGGGGCCUUGAGCCCCCUAAAGAGUCGUUCAAGACCAGGACGUUGAUAGGUCAGGUGUGGAAGCGCAGUAAUGCGUUAAGCUAACUGAUACUAAUUGCUCGUGCGGCUUGACCU
rnacentral:rRNA from 1 species